UACGUAGGGCGCAAGCGUUUGUCCGGAAUUAUUGGGCGUAAAGAGCUCGUAGGCGGUUUGUCGCGUCUGGUGUGAAAACUCAAGGCUCAACCUUGAGCUUGCAUCGGGUACGGGCAGACUAGAGUGCGGUAGGGGUGACUGGAAUUCCUGGUGUAGCGGUGGAAUGCGCAGAUAUCAGGAGGAACACCGGUGGCGAAGGCGGGUCUCUGGGCCGAUACUGACGCUGAGGAGCGAAAGCGUGGGGAGCGAACAGG
rnacentral:rRNA from 1 species